UGCCAUAGCCAUGUCACCCUGCAGUCCAAGACUGUUACUCACUGAAGCUAAGCAGGGCUGAAGUUGGUCAGUACCUAGAUAGGAGACCACGUGGGAAAACUAGGUUGCUACUGGAA
ensembl:rRNA 5S_rRNA 5S ribosomal RNA